GGGCCCGCACAAGCGGUGGAGUAUGUGGUUUAAUUCGAUGCAACGCGAAGAACCUUACCAGGGUUUGACAUCCUGCGAAUCUCUUGGAAACGAGAGAGUGCCUUCGGGAGCGCAGUGACAGGUGGUGCAUGGCUGUCGUCAGCUCGUGUCGUGAGAUGUUGGGUUAAGUCCCGCAACGAGCGCAACCCACGUCUUUAGUUGCCAGCAUUUAGUUGGGCACUCUAGAGAGACUGCCGGUGAUAAACCGGAGGAAGGUGUGGAUGACGUCAAGUCAUCAUGCCCCUUACAUCCUGGGCUGCACGCAUGCUACAAUGGCAAGUACAACGAGUCGCAAUACCGCGAGGUGGAG
rnacentral:rRNA from 1 species